rnacentral:tRNA from 1 species
GACGAAGUGUCCGAGUGGUUUAAGGAGUGAGACUUGAAAUCUCAUGGCUUCGGCCGCGCAGGUUCGAACCCUGUCUUCGUCG